UGACCCGGGCCCAAGUAGCAUAAUCUAUUGUCUUUUAAUUAAAGGCUUGUAUGAAUGGUUGAAUGAGAUAUUAACUAUUUUUAUUUUAAUAAAAAUGAAUUUUAAUUUUUAGUAAAAAUGCUAAAAUAAAAAAAUUAGACGAGAAGACCCUAUAAAUCUUAAUUUUAUUUUUUAUAAUAUUAAUUUUGAAAAUUUUUAAUAAAUUAUAAAAAUAAAAUUUUAUUGGGAGGAUAAUGAAAUUUAAUAAACUUUUAUUUUUUUUUAUAAAUAUAAUUAAAUUAUUGAAUAUAUAAUUAUAAAAUAUUUAAAAAAUUAAGUUACUUUAGGGAUAACAGCGUAAUUAUUUUAAAGAGUUCUUAUCGAUAAAAUAGUUUGCGACCUCGAUGUUGAAUUAAGAAUUAAUUAGGUGUAGAAGUUCAU
rnacentral:rRNA from 1 species